GCCAGACUCCUACGGGAGGCAGCAGUGAGGAAUAUUGGUCAAUGGGCGGGAGCCUGAACCAGCCAUGCCGCGUGAAGGCGAGUGCCCUACGGGCGUUAAACUUCUUUUGUGCGGGAGCAAUAAGGGCCACGCGUGGCCCGAUGAGAGUACCGCACGAAUAAGCAUCGGCUAACUCCGUGCCAGCAGCCGCGGUAAUACGGGGGAUGCGAGCGUUAUCCGGAUUUACUGGGUGUAAAGGGAGCGUAGACGGCCAUGCAAGCCAGGGGUGAAAGCCCGGGGGCCAACCCCGGGACUGCCCUUGGAACUGCAUGGCUGGAGUGCGGGAGGGGCAGGCGGAAUUCCUGGUGUAGCGGUGAAAUGCGUAGAUAUCAGGAGGAACACCGGCGGCGAAGGCGGCCUGCUGGACCGCGACUGACGUUGAGGCUCGAAAGCGUGGGGAGCGAACAGGAUUAGAUACCCCGGUACC
rnacentral:rRNA from 1 species